UUGGGAAUGAGAAUGAGAAAGAAAAAUGAAGAGACAAAUCAAAAGGGAAAAAAAUGGAAAACAAGAGUGGCAAGAAUAAAAAGUGGUUUUUUUUUUACCAAUUAAAGAAAAAUGUUAGAAAAGCUUAUUUUGAGAAAUUUUCGGUCAUAUCAAGAUUUUUGGUGCAACACUUUUCUCAAGGUCUUGAUUGCAAGAUUAAAAAUGUUAAAAUCAGUCUUACAAACACUUUCUCUCGAUGGUUUUAUGUCGAUGUUGCUAACACUUUCUUACAAAAAUGUCUUCUUGCUCUGUUCUGCAGACUCUGCCUUCCACUAAAUUUCUCCGCAACCAAACAGAAAAAAUCUCACCAAAAAUCCCCAAAAACUCGAUCAAAUAUUACCCGCUUAACUCUUCUUCAUCUUCCACCACAAACCAAAACCAGCAUUUCACUUGCCGUAAAAACUACCCGACCCUUUUCGAACCCGAAUCCAGGAGGGGAUCUGCUGCCGUGGAGAAAGGGAAGGAGACGGCGCAUUCAAACGAGGGAUUUGUUUACAAUUUGGGGGAUUUUGCAGCUUUUGAGAAGAUACGCAGUUGCAAAUCCCUGAUUUGGAGCUGAUGUUUGACUGUGAUGAUCGGCCGGUCGUUAAAUCAGCCGAUUACCCGAAUACGGCAGUGGAUACGGUGGGGCCGGCGCCGGUGUUCCGGUAUUGCGGGGAUGAGGAGGCUUUGGAUAUAGUGUUCCCGGAUUGGUCCUUCUGGGGAUGGACCUUAUAAUUUCAAUUUAGUGGCCCCCCAUACGUGUUGAAAUAAUAUUGGAGGAGAAGGGAACACACUUAGUUGGCGGUGGGACCAUUUUGUUGACGUGGGGUCUUAUUGCCAGAUGGCAAGAGGAGACCACCUAAACUUUGCCACGUUCGACAGCUGGCAUUAUUUAAACCUGGAUAGAUCGCCGUGUCAAUUAAUUUGUUGUAAUUUAUUUUAUAAAGACAAAGCUAUAUUAUUUUUCUGUCCUCCCUUCUUUCCGGAAAAUAAAUUAGUUUUUUUUUUUUUAAAAAAAGAA